rnacentral:rRNA from 2 species
UGGGGAAUAUUGGUCAAUGGGGGGAACCCUGAACCAGCAACGCCGCGUGAAGGAAGAAGGCCUUCGGGUUGUAAACUUCUUUGACAGGGGACGAAGGAAGUGACGGUACCCUGAAAACAAGCCACGGCCAACUACGUGCCAGCAGCCGCGGUAAUACGUAGGUGGCGAGCGUUAUCCGGAUUUACUGGGUGUAAAGGGCGCGUAGGCGGGCAUGCAAGUCAGAUGUGAAAUUUAUGGGCUUAACCCAUAAACUGCAUAUGAAACUGUGUGUCUUGAGUGAUGGAGAGGUAAGUGGAAUUCCUAGUGUAGCGGUGGAAUGCGUAGAUAUUAGGAGGAACACCAGUGGCGAAGGCGACUUACUGGACAUUAACUGACGCUGAGGCGCGAAAGCGUGGGGAGCAAACAGG